UCAAAAAAAAAGGAGGAAGUUUUCCUGUUACAGGCUCCAUAGGCCUCUGGAGCUCCUUUGAUCAUGGCCUCUUCACCUGACUACAAAAACUGUAAGGAGGGUGCUGCUUUUUAUCUUUGUCUCAGGCACCUGACACACAUGUAUUGAUCCAUUGAACAAAUAUUUAUUGAAGACUGAGUCUGUUGUUCUAGAGCUGGGACAUCAUUUUCCCCCUCUCUUCUACUGCCAGGAUCCUGCCUCUCUGGCCUUGGGACACUCCAAGACAGUGGGAGAGGACAGUCUGUCUAGUAAUCCCACUCAGGGAUCUCGCCUGGGCCUGGGAGAGAUGGUGGAGAGUCUGAGGACUUAGAAGGUGGGAAGGAGACCUCAUGGUGAGCCUGGCAGAAGCUCUGCUAAACGAUGUGGCCUCAUGCUCCUUUUUUCCUGCUGGGUCCUGACUUCAGCUCUUCCUCCUUCCACCAGCCAGUCUGGAGCUUAGCCGUGUUGUGUCACCUCGUUCUCCUGGGCUCCCUUCCUGCUCCUGCCUGUGAUUCCAGCCUGUGGUUAUAUCCUGCUACCUUCCCCUGCCUGGCUUAGGUCCCCAAGAGGCAUUUCGACCUAGAUCCCAGGGAUGACUCCUGGAUUCCGCUCAGCCCAUCUUAGGGUCUUCCCUCUAUUGAGAAAUCCUUGUCGGGCUCUAAAACACAUCUCUCUUGCUUAAGUUACUUCCUUUGGCUUGAAAACAGCGAGGGGAGUGCUGGGAGCAGUCUGGGUGGAGAGGCAAUUUCAAGGAGACAGCAGGGGAGGAGAGGACAGGGCUGGAUCUGGGCCGGGAGACACAGGGCUGGCCCUGGCCAGGAGAGAGGAGGAGCAAGAGCGAGCUGUUAAAUGAUUAGGAAACUCAGAACAGGAAUGGGAAGCAAAAGUGCCAGGAUGCAGGCGGCCCAAGGCCAAAGAGUGGGGUGGCUACAGCCACCCCUUCCCAAACGGCCUGGCAUCCCGUUGGUCAGAAAGGCCAAGGAAGGGCAUGGUUAGCUUUCACAUGUGAAGUCUGGAAGUACUUUGUAGGCACGGGUGGUAGGCUGAGAGGGUCCAGGGGUGCCCAGCACAGUGGGGAGAUAGCACCCCUUCCAGCAGCAGCAGCCAGUUCAUUAGACUCAGAGGGGCUGCUGUCUGCCCCUUCUUUGCCUCCCCUCUAGACAAAUCACUACCCCAUUUCCUGUUGUGAUUUCGAAAACACACACACUAAAAAAAUAAAUAAAUAAAAGAAAGGGAGAGGAAGGGAAAAGUGAAGUUGGCCAGCUGGACCUGGGACCCAUUUCGCAACCUUGCUGCCUGCAGCCCAGGGGGCCUUUGCUGAGCUCCCCAGCCACCUCCUUCUUCCCCAUGCAGCAUGGUGCAGGGAGGGGAACCCUGAGACCUCUGAGGGCCCCUUCAGACCAUCCUUUCACACACAGUCCAAACUCCUGAGUGACUUCAGCAAACCUGAUUCCCUUCAAGGCCUCUAUUUACAACCUCAGAACCUCCCCUCACCAUACACACCCAUGUUCCCAGGACCCCAAUCUUGCAGUCUGCCUCAUUCUUUCUACAGUGGUGGCAUCCUCCAAGGUGAAGGGAAUACAGAUCAGAGGAGCUCAGCUUAGGAAAUGCAGGGCUGGGCUGAGGUCGGUAGACUGCAUCACCAGCCCUGCCCAGGGGCAGCCUGGCAGGAGGCUGGACAAAGCUGGGUUACAGGCUCCAUAGGCCUCUGGAGCUGAGAGACUGGUCAGAGGUGGGGGUGAGAGUGCGCAGGCCUGGUUCCUGACUCAGGGACUAUCAGGCCUGUUGAUCCCUCUGGGCCUCAAUUUUCAGAACUUUAAUCUUUUGUGUAUCACUUUCAAAAUGUCUGCCGUGCUUAUGUACAGCUUGUGCUACUGUUUAUUACCAGUUAUUUCAAUUAACUUACUUUUCUUAUUUCACUGCAUCCUAAACAAUUGCUGAAGUAACAGAUUUGAUGUGCUAGUUACAGGAGUUAUCCUAAUGCAUAUCAAAUAAAAACAUAACUAUAACAGUUAAAAAAAAAAAAAAAAAGCUUGUCCAGGUACCAUCUAAAAUCAAAUCAAUGCAUAGCCCGUUUGAGAAAGCAGUAGUGAAAGCCAGGGCUGCUCUUGGUGCUGGCCAAGGGUCUUGCCUUCUCUUCCAGCGCUCCCCAUCGAGUUCUCUGGUCUUGGAAUUCGAGCCUCAUAGACCUCCCCAAACCACUGGGCCAGCGGCAGAGGGGAGGGGGAGGUAAUCUCAGGUGGGAGGAAAAGAGAUGACCCACCCAAUCCAGGGGGACGACACUGGGCCUGAGGCAGGAGAGUCAGCAGCCCUGGGGCGUUGAAGAGGAAUGUGCACACACUGCAGGGCCUCAGGCGGGGUGGGGGGGGGGGCCUUGGGGGCUCUCAGGACUCCACAACAGGUCUGACUCACAUGGCCCAGGACACAUGUGAACCAGGCUCAUUUCCUGGCCUCCUUCCUUCUUUCUAUUCUAUUUCUGCUUCCAGAGUUUUCUCUGGGGCAUGCUCCCCCUUCUGCCUGCACCAGCGGGCUGGCCUCGCUGGCUCGAACACUCCUCAAUUGUCAGACUCCUCCCUCUGUGUGCACCCCUGCUGCAUGAGGCUCAGCCCCAGGGGUCUAACAGAGGUCACAGUCACAGCACAGAAUGGAAGGCUUGCAGGGAGGGCAGCCCUAGAGGGCAGAGUGAAAGCAGGAGAAAGCUGCAGCCUUUCUUCUUCAUCCUCCUUGGGGAGCUAAUUACAGGCCAGCAGCUGCUGUGCAGGAGCGGUUAUCCGGCUGCAGCAGGUAUCCUUCAACACAGCCACAUAUGAAGGAGCCGUCUGUGUUGGUGCAUAGCUGGCUGCAGGUGCCAUACACUGAGCACUCAUCAAAAUCUGUCGGGGAAAGGGCAAGAAUGUGGUCAUUUCCAGUGUGACAGGGGCAACGAAGUGGGUGAUCAUCAGACAUGAUCAACGUGUCCAUCCUUACAGCUACCUUGAAGGAAAGUUCGGCAGAAUCUAUUACAGCAUGAAAUGUGCAAACCUUAUCACCCAGCAAGUCCAGUCUUGGAAAACACUCAUGUACAUAUCACUCAUUCACGCAGGGAAGAUUUAUUGAGUCCCUACUAUGGGUCAGGUGCCAGGGGUACAUCAGUGAACUUUAAAAUAGACCCACAUUGCUGUCCUCAUGAAACUUAUAUUCAGAUAAUAAAUGAAAUAUAGUUACUAUAAUAA